rnacentral:lncRNA from 1 species
GUCUGUGAGUCUGUUUCUGUUUUGUAAAUAAGUUUACUUGUAUCAUUUUUAUAGAUUCCACUUAUAAAUGGUAUCACAUGUUUAUCUUUCUCUGUCUGACUUACUUCACGUAGUAUGAUAAUCUCUAGGUCCAUCUGUGUUGCAACACAUGGCAUUAUUUCAUUCAUUUUUAUGGCUGAGUAAUAUUCCAUUGUAUAUGUGUACCACACCUUUAUCCAUUCCUCUAUCAAUGGACAUUUAGGUUGCUUCCAUGUCUUAGCUAUUGUAAAUAGUGAUGCAGUGAACAUUACUGUGCAUGUAUCUUUUUGAAAUAGGUUUUCUCUGUAUAUAUGCUCAUGAGUGGGAUUUCUCAAUCAUAUGAUAGUUCUAUUUUUAGUUUUCCAAAGAACCUCCGUACUGUCCUCCACAGUGGUUAUACCAAUUUAUAUUCCCACCAGUAGUGUAGGAGGAUCCCCCUUUCUUCACAUCCUCUCCAGUAUUUAUUGUUUGUAGACUUGUUGAUGAUUGCCAUUCUGUCUGAUGUGAGGUAAUACCUCAUUGCAGUUUUGAUUCACAUUUCUCUAAUAAUUAGUGAUGUUAAGCAUCUUUUCAUGUGAUUUUUGGCCAUCUGUCUAUCUUAUUUGGAAAAAUAUCAAUUUAUAGCUUCUUCCCAUUUUUUGAUUGGGUUGUUUUUUGUUUUUGUUUUGUUUUGUUUUUAUAUUUAGCUGCGUGAAUCAGUUGUAUGUUUGAAGAUUAAUAAUCCUUUAUCGGUCUCUUCAUUUGCAAAUAUUUUCUUCCAUUCUGUAAGUUGUCUUUUUGUUUUGUUUAUGAUUUCCUUUACUAUGCAAAAGCUUUUAAGUUUAAUUAGGUCCCAUUUGUUUAUUUUUGUUUUUAUUUUCAUUACUCUAAGUGGUGAAUCCAAAACAAUAUUGCUGUGAUUUAUGUCAAAGAAUUUUCUGCCUAUGUUUUCCUCCAAGAGUUUUAUAGUAUCCAGUGUUACAUUUAGGUCUUUAAUCCAUUUUGAGUUUAUUUUGUGUAUGGUGUUAGAGAAUAUUCUAAUUUCAUUCUUUUACAUGUGGCUGUCCAAUUUUCCCAGCACCAUUUAUUUUAAUGGACUGUCUUUUCUCCAUUGUAUAUUUUUGCCUCCCUUGUUGUAGAUUAGUUGACCAUAGGUGUGUGUGUUUAUUUGUGGGCUAUCUUGUCCAUUGAUCUAUAUUUCUGUUUUUGUGCCAGUACCAUACUGUUUUGAUGACGGUAGCUUUGUAGUAUCAUCUUAGGUUAGGACACCAGCUCUGUUUUUCUAUCUCAGGAUUGCUUUGACUAUUCAGGAUCUUUUUUGUUUCCAUACAAAUUUUAAAGUGUUUUGUUCUAGUUCUGUGAAAAAUGCCAUUGGUAAUUUGAUAGGGCUUACAAUGAAUCUGUAAUUGUCUUGGGUGAUAUAAUCAUUUGACAAUAUUGAGUCUUCCAAUCUAAGAACAUGGUAUAUCUUUCCAUCUGUUUGUGUCAUCUUCAAUUUACUUUUGCUAAAAAUGUUAUUAUAAGUAUGGGGGGAGGGUCCAUGUGACUCCAGUCACAAUUAGGAGCGAGAGUCCUUUGCAGAGAGGCUGGAUCUCCAUGGCCUCUUUGUCAAGGGAUAAAAAGCAGGAGUGGGGGCUUCUCCCUAAGAAAUCUUCAGGGAAAUUGUUAGGCCCUGCAGGCUGUGAAAGAUUUUGAUAGGUGAGGGUAAUUGCUGUUGCUCUAAGAAAUAGAAAUAUGGGAGUAUGUGCCAUGUCUGAGAGCCACAGAGAAGAUAGUGAUGGCUGGGGCAUAGGUAUUUUGUGUGUGUGUGUGUGUGUGUGUGUGUGUGUGUGUGUGUGUGUGUGUGUGUGUUGUGUGUAUGUGUUGUGUGUGUGGUGAUAGUGGUGGUGGUGCUUAGGAGGACAUAUGGUCUGGGAAGUGUUUGGGGGCCAGGAGUUCAGGAGUUUAAGAAAUUAGAUUGAAUGAGUUCCUGAAUUAGUCAUUUUGCUUCCUUUCUUAAUGGAUUUCAUUAUAGACAUUCCAGUUUCCCUAAGCACUGCCAUUUUUUUCUUAUUAUGAUUAGUUUGUUUGUUUGUUUGUUUGUUUUACAAUUCUUCUGUGUUCAGUUAGUGAAAGGUUGUAAGAUGGAUAGGAACAGCAAGAUUCAAUGAUUAUUUAACAAGUAAUAAACUGACUGCAGUCAAAUGUGCUUGUCAUUGGAAGCGUUAUUCUGUUAUCUGAAGCGAACAUGGCAGAGCUCGUUUAUUUAAUUAGAAGCUGUUUUUACUGGAAUCCUUCCAGGAGGACAGUGGGUGUAUUCUACAGCAUUUUAGGGCUCUUAAGAUUUCAGAGGUCUCACAGAUAGAAAUUAAAUAAAAGGGGAUAGUUAAAAUAUAACCCUGUGAACUGUUAACUUUCUCCAGGAGUAUCUGUUGAUUGCUACUUCCCCUUCAGCUGUUAGGGGAUGGAGACCUUUAUCCUCAGAACUAGGCAGAUAAAAAUUACAUUAAAAUGUACUGACUUCUUUUGGUGUUUUUCCCAGAUUUAGAAGACACACAUCUUGCCAUUUCUUGAUUAAUUAUUACAUGGAAGUUGCUGAGAGGCAAGCUUGGCUCAAUGUAAUGAAGGACUAGCAUAUGAUUGUGGAAACAUUGCCAGGCUGGGUGAGGAGGAUUUGGGUUCUAGUCUCAAGAGCACCAGUAAUUCUUUGUAAGAUCUUGGGCAGGUUGUUUCUCUUCUCUGGGUUUUGUUCUUCUCACCUGGCAAGUGAGAAGUGUAUCUUACUAUUUGCUUUUAGCAGCCACAUUCUGAAAUCCUGGGACACACUGGCAAGAAGGCUGUCCAAAGAGGAGUAGCCAGGAAAGCUAGAGCAGCAAGGAAAGUCCUGCUAAAUGAAAGAGACUUCACAUGGAGCCUUAAAAGAAGAACAAGUACAGGUGACCUGAAAGAACUUAACAAAUAUGUUCUAAACAAAUCAUUAUAGACACAUACAAAGGCUUACCUAGAUGAUGGAGGUAACAGUAGGAGGUUCUUUGGGUAUUAUUAUUUCAAGAGAAUUAAAGAGUUCAUCAAUGUGAAGAUGUGAAGUGCUAAGUGUAGACCUUCUUAUUUCUAGGAACAGCAGAGUGGGUUACUUAGACCAAUCAUCCCACUGAAAGCAACUAAAAAUACAUAUUUUUAAAGAAUCUUCUCAAAAGCAUCAAAGAGAUGACAAGAAAAUAAGGAAUUACUAGAUUAAAUAUAAAGGGAAAAUGGAAACCUAGCGAGAUAAGCAAGCAUUGUAAGUGUUUUUGAUUUGAACAUAUUUGCUGAUCCCUCAAAAUCAAAGCUUUGUGCUGGCAGUCUGAAGAGGUGAGAGGGACAGAGGGCAAAGCCCAGGCCCCACACAGUGAGGUGUAUCCUAGGAUACCCUUCCCAUAAUAAGCUGAGGCCAGAAGUGACACAGUCCCAAGAAUUACACCCUGGUUUCAAACCUCUGGGUCCUCUUCCAAUCCCAUACUACUCAAAGUGUGAUCCAUGGAUCAAAGACAUCAGUGGCAUCAGGGAACUUACUAAAAAUGCAGAUUCCUGGGGCUCACCCAAGACCAACUGCUUAUAUAGUAUAUAUACCUUAACAACAUUCUUUUUAGAAGCAAAAUCUGAAUCCUCUCAGGAGAAAUGUAUUUUCAUUGUCAGCCUCCAAGUAUUCCUGAAAUUAGUUUUUCUAAUACAAUUUCCCGUAAACAGUCCAAGAUAACAAGUCACAAAAGGAAACUAGGCUCCACAAGAAAGAACUAGCAGAAACAAUAGACAAUAUAAACAGAACUACAGAGACUGUACAUGGUGGAAUUAUUAGAUGCAGUCUAUAAAAUAAUAAUUUAUAUUCAUAAUAUAUAUGUAUGAAAAGGAUCAGAAAAAUUUUUUAAAUGACUUCAAAGUAUCUGUAGUGAAUAUAAAAUAUAAACUAUAAAAAUUUCAUAGAAGAUUUAAAACAGGCCUUAAAAAUUCUAGACAUAAGUUUUUAGCAUGAUUCCUGGCACUCAUCCAUUUGUGGAUGACUGACUUGGGGUAGUGAGUUACCUGUCAUUGAAAGUGUGUGCACAGGCUAGACAACUGGCUAUGAGGAUCAUUGAAAAGGGGAGAGCAGUGUUGACUAAGCAUUAGCCAGGUAAUACUCAAGUCUCUCUGGGGUGCAGAUACUAUAAAAUAUUUUCCGAAGAAUGGGACAUCCCCCAGUUGGCCAGGGCCCUUAGUGUUCCUUCUAACUUAACUUUUCAUGUCUGGGAUUGAGAAUCCUGCCUAAGGGUGCUAAAUCACCCACUGCCCUGGGAUAAAUAACACCAUAACUGUGUAAUAGUGGCAGAAAGAUGGGAUCACCUGUGGAUACUCCAAAUGAAACAGAGGGAGACUAUCUGGGGGACAUCAGGUGCCAUGGACUCAAGAAACGUUAGGAACUGUGGUUGAGACGGAUUAUUUGCAUACUUCUGCAUGAGUCUGCACAAGCCCUCCCUACUUUCAGAACUUUGUAAUCUUCAAAAAUAAAAUGAGGAGACACUAGUUUCUUGACUCUCUUUCCUUCUUGGUUCUGUUUAUCCUCUCUCCUUGUUCUAUUCUAACAAAUGCUCCAAAGGGAGGUCUAUGGCCACAUUUUCUGUCCACCCUCACCCUUUAUAACUCCUUCACCCUAAUUUCACUGCAUGUCAUGAGCUUGUUCAAGUUUGUUUCUCCUUUGGUUCAUCCUCCAGCUUCUCUGAUCAUCUCCUUCUUGGGGCUCUCUCUUUGGAAAUCAGUUACCAUUUGAGGCACAUAAACCAUUUAAUCUUCACAUUAAUCAUGCAAGAUAAGCAUUUUUAUUAUUCCUAUAUAACAAUAAUAGGUGUUCAUUAUAGAAAAAUUAUAAAUUACCUGUAAACCAAAAAAUAAAAUUGAAAUCACCCCAAAUUUUACCAUCUGGAGAUAACUGCACCACCGUUAAUGCUUGUUAUAUUUUCUCCAGAUUUUUUUCCCAUGAUUUUUUUGGGGCUGGGAAAUGAAAUUUUGUGCACUGAGUGUAUUUUUUUAAUGUAUUUUUAAUCAUUAGCAAGAGAUAGUGAAUCUCUUUCCAUAUUAGUAAACAUACAUGCACAAUAUAAUUUUUAAUGUUUACAUAGUUUGCUUUUAUGAACUUAUUUAACAAACCUUCAGUCAUUAGGCAUUUAAAUUAAUUCCAAUCUUCACAAUUAAAAUAGAAUCUUAAAUCUAUAUCUUUGUGUAUAUCCUUAAUUAUUUCUCCAAGAUAGAUUCCUUGAUGUGAAAAUGGAUCCAUGCUUCUGAUUUUGACAAAUUUUCCCUGCAGGAAAUUUGUACUAAUUUAGAUUCUCAACAACAAUGUGUGAAGGUGAACAUUUUCCUAUACCCUAACAUUUGGGUAUUGUUGUUUUAUUGUCUUGAUUAAUUUCACAAGCAGCCUUUUAUUGCUAUUUUAAUUUUAUCAUAAGUAAGAUAGAAUAUAGUCAUCCCUUGGUAUCCAUUGGGAAUUGGUUCCAGGACCCCUGUGGAUACCCAAAUCUGCAGAUACUCAUGUCUCUCAUAUAAGAUGGCAUACAACAGUAUUUUCCGUUAUGUUUCUUUACCAUUUGAUGUUCAUUCUUUUGUGAAUUAAACUGUUAGUAUAUUCUGUAUAUAUUAACACACUUGCACAUAGAAAAAAAAUAUUAGCAUCAUUGUUUUUGGUAGUAGCCAUUGUACAUUGCAAAUAGUUUCCCCAAAUUUGUCGUUUUCUUUUAAUCUAAUUCAAUUUUAUUAAUUUAGGCCACAC